rnacentral:sRNA from 1 species
GCCGGGCGUGGUGGUGCACGCCCAUAAUCCCAGUGAUUGGGAGGCUGAGGCAGGAGGAUCACGAGUUCAAAGCCAGCCUCAGCAAUUUAGCAGGGACCUAAGCAAUGCAGUGGGAUCCUGUCUCUA